UGGGGAAUAUUGCGCAAUGGGCGAAAGCCUGACGCAGCGACGCCGCGUGAGGGAUGAAGGUUUUCGGAUCGUAAACCUCUGUCAGAAGGGAAGAAACCGCACUGUGCUAAUCGGCAGUGCCUUGACGGUACCUUCAAAGGAAGCACCGGCUAACUCCGUGCCAGCAGCCGCGGUAAUACGGAGGGUGCAAGCGUUAAUCGGAAUUACUGGGCGUAAAGCGCACGUAGGCUGCUUUGUAAGUCAGGGGUGAAAUCCCACGGCUCAACCGUGGAACUGCCUUUGAUACUGCUUAGCUUGAAUCCGGGAGAGGGUGGCGGAAUUCCAGGUGUAGGAGUGAAAUCCGUAGAUAUCUGGAGGAACAUCAGUGGCGAAGGCGGCCACCUGGACCGGUAUUGACGCUGAGGUGCGAAAGCGUGGGGAGCAAACAGG
rnacentral:rRNA from 1 species